UACGUAGGGGGCAAGCGUUGUCCGGAAUCAUUGGGCGUAAAGAGCGUGUAGGCGGUCCGGUAAGUCGGCUGUGAAAGUCCAGGGCUCAACCCUGGGAUGCCGGUCGAUACUGCCGGACUAGAGUUCGGAAGAGGCGAGUGGAAUUCCCGGUGUAGCGGUGAAAUGCGCAGAUAUCGGGAGGAACACCGAUGGCGAAAGCAGCUCUCUGGGACGGUACUGACGCUGAGACGCGAAAGCGUGGGGAGCGAACAGG
rnacentral:rRNA from 1 species